UGCCUAUUAAAGUUAUAAAAAGCUCCGAUGGCUUUUUAAAUGAGACACAAUACUUGGACAGUCCGAGAUCAGCCAAAGAAGCAAAAAAGAAAUUCCAUCUGCUUUAAAGCAGUGACUGAGAAAUUAGUAGACCUUGAGUAAAUAAAUGAUAUAAAAUGCUGCAGAUAUUUAGUACAGACCUUUAGGUCAUUUUACAUAUGAAGCUUUAAAUUCUCCUAUUAUCUAUGAUGAUCGUAGAUCAUUCCUCAUUGCUCUCAGUUCAGCCGCGCGCCUGUCACUGAACCCAUACUUUCACUUUCGCUUUCUUAACCAAUCACAUUUUCUCUUUAAAACUAGCACGAUUAUCGGAUCUAAGAAAAAACGUCAAAAUACACGUUUGUUUUAUAUGCGUUUAUACGGAGUGAGUAUAUAUUUUGCAAUGUUGACGCAAAAAUAAUACACGGAUUCUUGUCACGUGACCGUGUCUUCGACAAAUCAUCCUUCCUCCUGAAAAAGGCGCCAACGUUUCAGCAUGUGACGCAGUUUAGUUCAAAUUCAAAUUCCCGCUGUACAGACAGCGGCAAAUACACCGAGCCUGUCAGCAGCACAGACCCAACAUCUAAGAGCUUCGAUCUGUUCUUCAAUAUACUGAGAGAAGUCUGUGCCGCUGCAUGCAGUGUUUUCGUAAUGGCAAAUACUCAUCAAUAACAUUGUCUUGCAUGAAGACCACUCACAGCUAUAGAUCAUGGGUAAACAGCGUAAAAAGCGACCAAAUCCAACACAGAAAAUAUAUGGACAGCGAAAUGGUCUCCAAACUGCUGAAAGCAUUUCGGCGCCCUAUUCUCCCUCCAGUCUGAGUUCUAGCAUUUCAGCUUUUGGAGGAAGUCAUGUUAGUGCUCAAACCUUGAGUCAUAACAGCAUAUCAGGACCCAUGACUAUUAACAACUUUUUUGGUGCGGUGACGCCGAAUGCCUCACCUCCUGUCAAAGAGGACAUACCUGUGGCUCAGCAGCCCUUCACUGCCAGUGAGGAAUCAUCCGUUUUCAUGACCCCUAAAAGCUUGGAGAAAGAAACACCUUACAAUCUGAUCCCACAACAGAGCAAAGAAGCAGCCAGCAGAGUUAAUGUCUCCCGCAGGAAGUUGAAUUUUGAUGAAGUCAUUGAGCCACAACAGACCCUGGAUGAUGUAAAUGAGAUGCAGGGAGAAAGUGUUCAUUCACCAGCAGAGGAACCUAGCAUCACUGGACAGAUCAAAUGCACUAAAGUGAUCGUCAGUUACUGCUGUGAAUGUGGCGCUGCAAUCCGCCGCUUUAAGUCCAAAGACUUUAAUGUCAAGUGCAGCAAAUGCAAGCUAAACUGGAACUGUGCCAAAGUCCCCUGCACAUGCGAGGCUGAAAUAACUAUUGAACUGUGCAGUGGUGAAACGCAGAUGGUGGCGCUGAAUGAUUCACUGUUGCGCUUGAUUGUGAGCUACAACACAGAGGGAUACUGUGACACAAACCAAAUUGAGGAAAAGAUUCUGAAGAUGGGGAACAUCAGAGUGGACUUUGAAAAUGGAAAACCAAAGAGCGUGCAAGUGACUCCUACAUUGAGAGUCCCACUGUAAGAAUCCCACAGUAUUUGCUGCUGAUUUCAGUCUGCUGUUCUAAUUUGGGCCAUAAAUAAUUGUUUUUUUAAUCAGUAUAUUUGUUUUUUAUUUUCCUUGGGGAGACAAUUGUUAUAAAGUGACUGCUCCCUUUGACUUAAAAGCUAAGACCAACCUCUUACAGUGGCUAAUACCUACCUCACUGUAACUACUGUAAACUAGGGAUGCAACGGUUCUCUGUAUUUCAUCGAACCGUUCGGUUCGAUAAACCUAGAAGAACCGCGAUAUUUCGGUGCGCGCAUUAACAGAACGAACAAACGCUCUCAGUAAUGCACAGCCCCGCAGUAAAGCAGCACUGUAGGAUAGCAUACUCGGCCACAUGGCCGGCGGAGGGGCUGCUGAGCGCACUGCUGCUGGUGUUUUCCAGUGCCCCGCGCGAGGAAGGGCCGCGGUCGGCUGUGCCUCGUGCGAGGGAGCGCCACAGUCAGCGUGACGGAGCUCUGCAUUUUGGCUUCAGGGUUAAGUUUGAUAACAAGGUAAAAACACAGUCAGCAGAUAAAGCACAGUGUGAUAUCAACCAUGGCCACACUGUACCGUUCCAUCACUACUGUAAACCGUAUUUAUUGCAUUUACAGGAAAGAAAUACAGCUGUUCUUUUUUCUAUUCCGCUAAUUGUAAGUUGUGUAUUUUACUGUAUAUAUACUGUAUAUAUACUGUAUAUAUGUUUUACUGUGUAUAUAGUAGAUGUAAAUUGUAUAUAGAUGUAUAUAGUAAAUAUUUUAUGUUAUACAGUGGCUUGCAAAUGUAUUCAUACCCCUUGCACAUUUUCACAUUGUCAGCUUACAACCACAAACCUGUUGAUGUUGAACAGUUUUACUUGUCCACCACACAUAGGCCUUUGCAUUUAAGCAAAGAGUUCAACUUAGGUCUCACAGUACCUUCUUACACAUGUUUGCUACAUGGCUUGUGGCAAACUGCAGACAGAACUGUUUUUCUUUUAUCCACUCUUUCUUAAAUGCCAAAUUUUUGGAGUUAAUGAUUUAGAACUUUGCUGUGCACAGAUUUUUCCACCUGAGCUGUGGAUUUCUGCAGCUCCUCCAGAGUGAACAUGGUUCUCUUGGUUCCUUCUCUGACUAGUGCUCUCUUUGCUCGAUCUGUCAGUUUGGGUGAGCGGCCAUAUAUUUUUAGGUUAUGUUGUUUAUGUAUUUUAUGUUAUUUUUGUAAUGCUUUGGCAAUGUUGUUUUGGAAAUUGUCAGUACAGUCAUGCCAAUAAAGCAUUAUUAAAUCUUCUCCUUCA
rnacentral:lncRNA from 1 species